CAGCAACCCAACAACCGAUUGACCGAUUCAUCUGAAAAUUUCAGGGCAGAUAGAUCUUGACCUGAUAAACAUUUUUACCCCCUGUCAGAUUUGCUCUAAAUGCUUUGGUUUUUGAGUUAUAAGCCAAAAACUGCAUUUUACCCCUAUGUUCUAUUUUUAGCCGUGGCGGCCAUCUUGGUUGGUUGACCUGGUCACGCCACACAUUUUUUAAACUAGAUACCCCAAUGAUGAUUGUGGCCAAGUUUGGUUAAAUUUGGCCCAGUAGUUUCAGAGGAGAAGAUUUUUGUAAAAGUUAACGCAGGACGACGACGACGGACGACGACGGACGCCGGACGCCAAGUGAUGAGAAAAGCUCACUUGGCCUUUCGGCCAGGUGAGCUAAAAAGAAAACUAAUGCCUCUUUGUCAGCACAUGUGCAAAAACUGUAUUGCACUUAUGUUUAAAAUUAAGGUACAAUUGGCAUCUUUACAGUUUUUGGGUUGUAAAAUAGCAGAUCACUGCUGUUCUCUAUGUUUUAUUUUUAAUGAAAUUUGCAAAUUUUGUUCUCUUUGUUUAAUGAAAUGUGCAAAUUUUGUUCUCUAUGCUUCAUGAAAUAUGCAAAUUUUGUUCUCUAUGCUUAAUGAAAUAUGCAAAUUUUGUGAUCUAUAUUUAUUGAAUAUAUGCAAAUCUUGUAAGAGGAAUGUAGUUUAUCUCAAUGAAGACUACUUUGUGUUUAAUCUUUGGUUAUAACUUUGUGACUUCAAUUUUUUUCUUUCUGAAAGUACAUUAUGAUAAGAGCUAUCUAUCAUUUCUUUAUAACAUACACAAUUAUUUUAUAUUUCAUGAAUAAUCUAUACAAAAUGUGACAAUAUUGCCCAACUAAAAGAUUGAAAAAAGUUCCAUGAUCCUUGCUUUUUGUAG
rnacentral:lncRNA from 1 species